CGGUGUCCAGGGUGAACGGCGGCACCUCGUCGCUCUUGGCGCCGGUGGCCAGCGCGUGGAUGCGCUCGCGGUACGCGCCCGCGUACACCGCC
rnacentral:tRNA from 1 species